rnacentral:rRNA from 1 species
GAUGAACGCUGGCGGCGUGCCUAAUACAUGCAAGUCGAGCGAACGGACGAGAAGCUUGCUUCUCUGAUGUUAGCGGCGGACGGGUGAGUAACACGUGGAUAACCUACCUAUAUGACUGGGAUAACUUCGGGAAACCGGCGCUAAUACCGGAUGAUAUUUUGAACUGCAUGGUUCAAAAGUGAAAGACGGUCUUUCUGUCACUUAUAGACGGAUCCGCGCUGCAUUAGCUAGUUGGUAAGGUAACGGCUUACCAAGGCAACGAUGCAUAGCCGACCUGAGAGGGUGAUCGGCCACACUGGAGCUGAGACGCGGUCCAGACUCCUACGGGAGGCAGCAGUAGGGAAUCUUCCGCAAUGGGCGGAAGCCUGACGGAGCAACGCCGCGUGAGUGAUGAAGGUCUUCGGAUCGUAAAACUCUGUUAUUAGGGAAGAACAUAUGUGUAAGUAACUGUGCACAUCUUGACGGUACCUAAUCAGAAAGCCACGGCUAACUACGUG